rnacentral:rRNA from 1 species
UUCCGGUUGAUCCUGCCGGACCCUACUGCUAUCGGGGUGGGACUAAGACAUGCAAGUCGUGCGUCUCUAAGCCAUGGUAGAGACGCGGCGUACGGCUCAGUAACACGUGGUUAACCUACCCUUAGGACGGGGACAACCCCGGGAAACUGGGGCUAAUUUCUGAUAGGUGAGGAGGCCUGGAAUGGUUCUUCGCCGAAAAGGCGUUGAAACCACGCUUUUCAACGUCGCCUAAGGAUGGGGCCGCGCCCGAUCAGGUUGUUGGUGAGGUAACGGCUCACCAAGCCUAUAACCGGUACGGGCCGUGAGAGCGGGAGCCCGGAGAUGGGCACUGAGACAAGGGCCCAGGCCCUACGGGGCGCAGCAGUCGCGAAAACUCCGCAAUGCGCGAAAGCGUGACGGGGCUACCCCGAGUGCCGUCCGCUGAGGAUGGCUUUUCCCCGGUGUAAUGAGCCGGGGGAAUAAGGAGAGGGCAAGACUGGUGUCAGCCGCCGCGGUAAUACCAGCUCUCCGAGUGGUAGGGACGAUUAUUGGGCUUUAAGCGUCCGUAGCCGGCUUAGCAAGUCUCCUGUUAAAUUCAGCGACUUAAUCGUUGAGCCGCGGGAGAUACUACUAGGCUAGGAGGCGGGAGAGGCCGACGGUAUUCCCGGGGGAGGGGUGAAAUCCUAUAAUCCCGGGAGGACCACCAGUGGCGAAGGCUGUCGGCUAGAACGCGCUCGACGGUGAGGGACGAAAGCUGGGGGAGCGAACCGGAUUAGAUACCCGGGUAGUCCCAGCUGUAAACGAUGCGGGCUAGGUGUUGAGGUGGCUACGAGCCACUUCAGUGCCGCAGGGAAGCCAUUAAGCCCGCCGCCUGGGGAGUACAGCCGCAAGGCUGAAACUUAAAGGAAUUGGCGGGGGAGCA